ACCAUAGUCGCCAACCCCCGUCGAAGAAGAAGAACCAGGUGCCAAAGGAGGCCGACUGCCAACCACCGUCGCACCGAAGUCACAGUCAGCUGCCAAAAAAAGGUAAAAAUUCUCUUUAUCCACUCGGAAUUCGAUUCUGAGCAUCCUUGUUUCCAAAUCAAAGCAAGAGGAAUGACGGGUGAGCCAUAAACCACUGGCA
rnacentral:lncRNA from 1 species